CUCUUGUUACAUCACCAGGAUUCACUUUACCUAUUCUAGAAUGUUCCAGAAUUGGAAGCAUCCAGCAUGAACUUCUUUGUGUCUGUUAGUUGCCUGGGCCACUGAGCUUUCUGGCGGCCUGUACCUGGCCAGCACGCCUGUGCCUGCACCCCUCGUUUCUAAAAGGGCAGCGGGGCCCCUCCUGGCCUGGCUUCCCUCCACAUUCUCUGGAUCUGUAGCUCUCAGAGUAGCAGACCACGAAUAUGGACGCUGGCCAACGCAAGCAGAAAAGAAUUUGAGGACAGCCUGCUGCUAACAGACCUCCAGGAGGGCCGGGAGGAGCUGGCCUUGAAGGCUGGGCAGCCCGAAGCAGCUGCCGGGGACACAGCGACACCACCAUGCCCUGGCCCUGCCCUGGGGAGGCGGACAAGAAUCAAGCAGAGUGUGUGCUGUGUCCCAUGGUGGCGAGUGUGGUGGACGAAAAGAAAACCAGGGCUGCCGAGCUGGGGCAGGCGAUUUUAAGCCAGGCGGCGCCCGGGAAAGUCACGGGGAGCUGAGGGACUGAGGCCAAGCCGACUGCUGGGAGAAGAGCCUUCCAGGCAGAGGAAACAGCCGGUGCAAAGUCCCACAGCUUCCACCCUCUCUGCAUGCUCCGCUCUGAGCUGCUGGCCGCCUGAUUUCACAAGGAGAUAGUCACUCCCAGCCGUGUCCUCCCGCCACCACCACCGCAGCCACCAGCACCUGUGGCGCCUUCCACAUAGCUCCAGGCACCCCCUGUGGCUCUCUCCUCCCCAGGCCUCACCUCGCCUCUCUCGACACUCACCCACAGGCGACCCCAGCCAGUCCCUCGACUUAAGGCCGUCAGAGCACUGAGCCCUUCCGUUGCCUGCCUCCCGCCUGGCUUUCCCCCCUGAGGUCCAGACGCACGUAUCUGACCAUCUAUGUCACAGCUUCCUUUGGAGAUUUUGUAUAAAGUGGGUGCAAAAUAAACCCACCUGCCUGGAUCCCUUCCAUCCACAUUAUUGUUUCUUUGCAUCUCUACAAGCAUUUUGUCUGCUUUUGCACAAGCGCCGGCACCUGCAGCUCUUUUCAGAGAACCUCCCCUGGGCUCUGGACCACGUGCCAGCAUCCCUUUGCCUGCCCACUCAGAGCAUCAGAAGGGCCUUGGAGCUUACGUUCCCCCAGGGCAGCCUUUAGGCAACGACUGACGGGUGCGGACAACUCGGAGAUGGAACAGCCUCCAGAGCUCCCUGCGGGAUGGACUAUGGGCCCUGGCAGGACUCCGCCUGAGCUUGCUCCCUCGCAGCCCUGCUUCCCCAGCGCCUCUUUCUUUCACUUCACACAUGCAAUCCAUCAGGUCAGCUCCAUCUUCAAAUUAUAUCGAGAAUCUGCAUGCUUUCGUCACCUUCACCAAGACCACCUGAGUCCAGCCCACCAUCAGCACGGACCCGGACCAGUGCGGUAGCCUCCUCAUUGGUCUCUGCUUCUGCUUUUGUGUCGUACAGUUUCUUUGUGCACAGCAACCAGAGGGCUCUGAGCAUGCAUAAAAGAUUGGAAACCUAAAUGCUGGUGAAUACUACUUUUUUUUUUUUUUUGGCUGAGGAAGAUUCACCCUGAGCUAACAUCUGUUGCCGGUCUCCCUCUGUUUUGUAUGUGGGUCACUGCCACAGCAUGGAUGCCCACCAGUGGUGUAGGUCCACGCCCAGGAACCAAGCCCGGGCCGCCCAGCAGAGUGCACUAAACUUGAAACCACUAGACCACAGGGCUGGCCCCCCUGAUAAUAGUCACUAAUACUGUGCACGUUGCCAGGGCCAGGCACCAUGCCAAGCUCUUUAUAUUCAUUUGGCUGUGCUGGGCUGUAUCCUGGGUGCCUGCUGUGCACCAGGCACUCUGCCCUGCCUGGGGUAACGGGGUAAAGAAGAGGAAGAUCUUCCUCUGUGAGCUGACACACUGGUGAGGAGGCUGACAGUGAGCAAGUGAAAUACAAAUAAAUAAUGACAGGUUUGACAAGUGCUAUGAAGAAAAUCAACAGGGUGAUGCGGUCAUCAACAAGAGAGGCCAACUUUAGAUGAGCAGGGAAGGCUUCCUGGAGGAGACCCCUGAGUGGAAAGCAGAGGAUGAUGAGGAGCUAGCCACGCAAAGAGCCAGGUGGAGUGCAUUUCAGGCAUAAGCGCUGGGGCCGGCGUGGUGGGUGAGUCAGCGAGAGGCGGGUGGCAGGGCGGAUAGGCCAGGGCCUGUGGGCUGCAGUGAGGACUUUGGCUUUUACUGAGUAAAGUGGGAGCCAUGGAGGGUUCUUGAGCAGAGAAGGAGUGUGAACACACUCAGCUGUUCACAGGCGUCCAUCUGUGCCUUUGGGGUAUGACCGAGGGCCUUCCUGGGCCCGUUCAGCUGACCCCAUCUUAUCAACAGUGUAAUUAAGAGUGGUUUUUCAGGAACUGAGAAACGACCUCUCAUCCAGUUCAGGCCAGUCGAGGCCACCAACCCAUCAACUGGGCCUGCACAAAUGCCGGAGAAGUGACCCUUUUGACAUCAAGGGGCUGGAAACUCCCCCCUCAGAGCAUACUAAUGUACCUAUAUUGUGAACAUGCGUCCUGCGAAGAGCCACGGAGCUCGACCACGCUUGCGCAGACCCUCAGUCACCUCACCUCUCUCACCUCCAAUCAUCUGUCUCCACGCUUCAGACCGCCCUGCCCUUCCUCCCACAAAUUCGGAUCGGGGAGACAGACCGGACAGCACGUGCCCCCGGCUCCUUACCGAUCCAUAUAGCAAUAAAGCUGAUGCUGUAAUAGUUGGCUUUUUUAAUGCACAUCGGAUAG
rnacentral:lncRNA from 1 species